GGAGAGGGCAAUGAGGUAUCCUGUGUGACACCUGGCACUCCAAAUACUGUAUUGUAUUUAAUCUGAAUGAUAGUCCUGCAAGAGGGAUAGCCUUGUCCCCCAGUGCAGGUGAGGAAACCGAGUCACAUGCCGCCUUCACACUGAUUCAUUCAGACGACUCAGGAACAGGACUUAGUACCAGCAGAGGCUUUAAGAAUCAAAUGCUUGCCACAUCAUCUCAGGAGAAAGGAUACCAGGAAGUACAACAGGAAAUGAAUUGGCCUAGGAGGAGGCCUGCCAGGAAAGAACAGGGAGGGUUGAGACAAAGUAACUGGAGUUACCAUCAAAGGGGACAUCUGGUGCCCUACAGCCUUCAUUAAAGUUGUGGUUACUCUUUAACGACUGUGUACACUAUUAGAUUAAUUAAUUAGAUUCUAGUAUACUCCUUAUAGACCCCAGGAGGGCUGCCAAUAAAGAGUUCAGAUGUUAUGGUUCUGGAACCCAGAAGGUUGGAAUCAUAAACAAAGCAAGGUUCCUUGGAUUCAGUUCCUGGUGAAGUUUAUGGCCCUAAGGCAGGAUUAGGUAGUGCGUUCUCCUUGUGCCCAGGGCUCCAAAUCCAAACCAAACUAUCUGAGCUAUCUCCUGGGAAGAUGACUAAGCAGGGGUCCCAACAUAACCAGGCUGCUUCGUCCUGAGUUUUCCGAUUGACAUAGGACCACAAAGCCAAUAUUUGAUUUUCAAUAUGCACAAGAUUGUCUAAAAAUCCUGCUCUUUACAUCAUCUGGUCUGCGACCUUGACCUUGGUCAUGUAACUUGUCUUCUCUGCACAUAAGAGUUAUUACCUGCAAACUGAGAAUAAUAAUACUAAAUGUACAUAACAUACCCUGUGAUGUCCUUGGCACAGAAUCUCUAAGCUACAGCAAAACUGCACUGCUGUUAUUUUCAUCUACCUCUGUAUCCCUUGCAUUGAGAGUAGAUCUUUGACUUAUGGAAGAUGGCUGAGGAAAGAUUGUGGAAGGAAUUCAUGGUGCAAUACAUGAAUACUUCAAGGGCACUGCCUAGAAAAACAACUCUGUGCAUUAUAUUGAAGGAUAAUAUGGGAUGUCUGUGCAUCGGAGAAGGUUUUUACUCAUUUGGGGACUUCCUGAAUUCCUAUAUGUCACCCAUAUAGGAAUUGAAAAAUUCAGCAAAGAAUUCCCUUUUAUAAACAAAACAAACAAGAAAAAUAUCUUCCCAAAAUAAAGAAGGCUGUAUGUUUAGCAAGGAUCCUUCUUUGAAUUCACUAAAUACUACUGAACACUGACUACAUACCAAAAGUCCCUGAGUAUGUAUGCACAGAUGUGCAACACCACAUUCCUGCCAAUGUUAUACAGAUCUUAUGUCUUUUGAUGCUAUUAUUUUAUUGUCUUGACUUUCAGUGUUAAUCUGAAUAACAUUUUACAUUGGAGAAAAUGCAGUUCCCGAAGAAAAUAAUCCAAGUCAAUUGAGUAAUGUGAGGAAAUAAAUCAAAGAUAACAUUGUGGAAUUUUAGUGCUAUGUGGCCUCAUACAUAAUUUCAGCUCAUAUCUUUGGUUUAUAGCUGGAACACUGAAUCACAGAUUUUAAGUGGCAUGCCUGAGGCCAUCUGCAAGGCAAUGGGGGAUUGGGUUCUUCUCAUUCCUAUUUUAGUUUUUGCAGUGCAGAAAAUUAAGAAUUAGAGAAAAAGAAAAUAGAGAAAUUUCCUUCCAUUAAGAGAAAUAUUUAACCACUUUUAAGGGACAUUACUUUUGGAAUUUAUAAUGAAUCAUGAUUUCCACUUGAUAAUUGUUCAAUCAUGCAAAAGCCAUCAGUUGAAUUAUAUUGAACAUUUUAAAACCUGACAAGAGCUGUGAAAUAUGAGUGAAUCUUAUUUCUACUAAUCUCUGUUUGAGGUAUUACUUGGAUGCAAUUGAGCCUUUAGUAAUUUUAACUCGUAUGUCUAAUACUCUGUUGAUGCAUAUUCGCCUUUAAGGUUAAAAGCUCAUUUUUUCUAGUAAUUAAAAUUCCUGCAGUACUUAGUUCUGAAGGUAGAGUUAGGAUCUUUCUGGAGAGCUGCUGGUGAGAGGCACCAGUGGGCGGUGGUGAGUGCAGUUAGGCCUCUGUGCUGUGAGCAGUUAGGCAGCAACCUCAUGCCCAAUGACCAUAACAGUGACUUUAGGAGGCUUCCAAUAUGGCUGAAAAGGGAAAAGACAUGAUGAUUCUGGUAGCAGAUGGUAAUAGAAGAAAAAUGGAGGAAGUGUACUCCCAGUGGGGAGCUGGAAAGACUUUUGCAGUGGAAACUCUACAGAAAGAAGAGGAAUACUGUGGAGGAGUGUGAAAGGUGAGGACUCACAGCAGCAAGUGGGGCUAGCAUCCACAACUCUUAUAGCCAGGGCUGGAGGAGACACCAAGUUCUGAGAGUGAGGUGAGGGCAGAUUGAGGCAGCUCAUGCCACUGGGGAUAUUGGAUGAGGGAGAUCCUUGUGUACCACACUGACUUUGAGUCUGGCCUCAAGACCUAGCAGGGGGCAGGGAACCCUCUAAUCCAAAGCAUAUUUCCUUCUCUGCAUCCACACACAAUGUUACCCUGGAUUCUCAUCCCACACUUGAACACUGGCCAGAGCUCCCUAGCUCAACCCAGCACAUACCUCUGGGUAUCCAUUGAUAGAUCAGACACUGCUAAGACAUAGAGGCAUACAAAGAUAAAACCCAUCAACAGAGAAAACCAAGUGUUUUCACAAAUGCCUAAAAAUAAUUUCAGGAAUACAAGAAACAAGAACAAGGAAGACAACAUGACUCCCCCAAAGGAACAAAACAACACUUCAAUAUUAGAAUGUGAAGAUGAAGAGAUUGGUGAAAUGCCUGAAAAGGAAUUCAAGAGAAUCAUCAUAGGAUUACUGAGAAGCAAUGAGAAGCAAAUACAUGAGAUGAAGUAAUCCAUACAUGACAUGGAUGAAAAAUUCUCCCAUGAGAUAGAAAUCUUGAAGAGAAAUCAAACAGAAAUAUUAGAAAUGAAGAAUUCAGUAUGUCAAAUUAAAAAAUAGGAGGAAGCCUUAAAAACUUACUUGGUAGGCCGGUGCCGCGGCUCAGUAGGCUAAUCCUCUGCCUUGUGGUGCUGGCAUACUGGGUUCUAGUCCCGGGCGGGCCCCAGAUUCUGUCCUGGUUGCCCCUCUUCCAGGCCAGCUCUCUGCUGUGGCCCGGGAAGGCAGUGGAGGAUGGCCCAAGUGCUUGGGCCCUGCACCCCAUGGGAGACCAGGAGAAGCACCUGGCUCCUGCCUUUGGAUAGGCACGGUGCGCCGGCAGCAACACGCCGGUGAUGGUGGCCAUUGGAGGGUGAACCAACGGCAAAAGGAAGACCUUUCUCUCUGUCUCUCUCUCACUGUCCACUCUGCCUGUCAAAAAAAAAAAAAACAAC